GACGAACGCUGGCGGCGUGCCUAAUACAUGCAAGUCGAACGCUUCUUUCCUCCCGAGUGCUUGCACUCAAUUGGAAAGAGGAGUGGCGGACGGGUGAGUAACACGUGGGUAACCUACCCAUCAGAGGGGGAUAACACUUGGAAACAGGUGCUAAUACCGCAUAACAGUUUAUGCCGCAUGGCAUAAGAGUGAAAGGCGCUUUCGGGUGUCGUUGAUGGAUGGACCCGCGGUGCAUUAGCUAGUUGGUGAGGUAACGGCUCACCAAGGCCACGAUGCAUAGCCGACCUGAGAGGGUGAUCGGCCACACUGGGACUGAGACACGGCCCAGACUCCUACGGGAGGCAGCAGUAGGGAAUCUUCGGCAAUGGACGAAAGUCUGACCGAGCAACGCCGCGUGAGUGAAGAAGGUUUUCGGAUCGUAAAACUCUGUUGUUAGAGAAGAUCAAGGACGUUAGUAACUGAACGUCCCCUGACGGUAUCUAACCAGAAAGCCACGGCUAACUACGUG
rnacentral:rRNA from 1 species